rnacentral:rRNA from 1 species
CCUACGGGUGGCUGCAGUGGGGAAUUUUGGACAAUGGGGGCAACCCUGAUCCAGCCAUGCCGCGUGCGGGAAGAAGGCCUUCGGGUUGUAAACCGCUUUUAGUCGGGAAGAAAAGGUUAUCCCGAAUAAGGAUGACUCUUGACGGUACCGGCGGAAUAAGCACCGGCUAACUACGUGCCAGCAGCCGCGGUAAUACGUAGGGUGCGAGCGUUAAUCGGAAUUACUGGGCGUAAAGCGUGCGCAGGCGGUUCGUUAAGUUCGAUGUGAAAGCCCCG